rnacentral:rRNA from 1 species
AUACGGAGGAUGCGAGCGUUAUCCGGAUUUAUUGGGUUUAAAGGGAGCGUAGGCGGGAGCUUAAGUCAGCGGUUAAAUGGUGCGGCUCAACCGUGCCCUGCCGUUGAAACUGGGUUUCUUGAGAGUGCAAGAGGCGGAUGGAAUUCAUGGUGUAGCGGUGAAAUGCUUAGAUAUCAUGAAGAACUCCGAUUGCGAAGGCAGUCCGCUGGGGCACGUCUGACGCUGAUGCUCGAAGGUGCGGGAAUCAAACAGGAUUAGAUACCCUGGUAGUCCGCACGGUAAACGAUGAUUACCCGCUGUCGGCGGCAGACAGUCGGCGGCCAAGCGAAAGCGAUAAGUAAUCCACCUGGGGAGUACGCCGGCAACGGUGAAACUCAAUUGAAUUGACGGGG